GAUGAACGCUGGCGGCGUGCCUAAUACAUGCAAGUCGAGCGAACGGACGAGAAGAUUGCUUCUCUGAUGUUAGCGGCGGACGGGUGAGUAACACGUGGAUAACCUACCUAUAAGACUGGGAUAACUUCGGGAAACCGGAGCUAAUACCGGAUAAUAUUUUGAACCGCAUGGUUCAAAAGUGAAAGACGGUCUUGCUGUCACUUAUAGAUGGAUCCGCGCUGCAUUAGCUAGUUGGUAAGGUAACGGCUUACCAAGGCAACGAUGCAUAGCCGACCUGAGAGGGUGAUCGGCCACACUGGAACUGAGACACGGUCCAGACUCCUACGGGAGGCAGCAGUAGGGAAUCUUCCGCAAUGGGCGAAAGCCUGACGGAGCAACGCCGCGUGAGUGAUGAAGGUCUUCGGAUCGUAAAACUCUGUUAUUAGGGAAGAACAUAUGUGUAAGUAACUGUGCACAUCUUGACGGUACCUAAUCAGAAAGCCACGGCCAACUACGUG
rnacentral:rRNA from 1 species